rnacentral:rRNA from 1 species
UCAGGAUUAACGCUGGCGGCGUGCCUAACACAUGCAAGUCGAGCGAGAAAUGGUGAAGAGAAACUCGGUUGAACAGAUCCAUGGACAGCGGCGGACGGGUGAGUAACGCGUGGGCAACCUGCCCCUUUCCGGAGGAUAGCCAAGGGAAACUUUGAAUAAUACUCCAUAAAGCAAGAGUACCGCAUGAUACACUUGCCAAAGAUUUAUCGGAGAGGGAUGGGCCCGCGUCUGAUUAGCCAGUUGGUGAGGCAGCGGCUCACCAAAGCGACGAUCGGUAGCCGGCCUGAGAGGGUGAACGGCCACAUUGGAACUGAGACACGGUCCAGACUCCUACGGGAGGCAGCAGUGGGGAAUAUUGCACAAUGGGGCGGAAGCCUGAUGCAGCAACGCCGCGUGAAGGAAGAAGGUUUUCGGAUCGUAAACUUCUGUCCCCGGGGAAGAAAAAAUGACGGUACCCGAGGAGGAAGCCCCGGCUAACUACGUGCCAGCCGCAGC